AUUGAACGCUGGCGGCGUGCCUAACACAUGCAAGUCGAGCGGUAACAGGUGUAGCAAUACAUGCUGACGAGCGGCGGACGGGUGAGUAACGCUUGGGAAUCUGCCUAUUAGUGGGGGACAACCCGGGGAAACUCGGGCUAAUACCGCAUACGCACUACGGUGGAAAGCCGGGGACCGCAAGGCCUGGCGCUAACAGAUGAGCCCAAGUCGGAUUAGCUAGUUGGUAGGUAACGCCACCAAGGCGACGAUCCGUAACUGGUCUGAGAGGACGACCAGUCACACCGGACUGAGACACGGUCCGGACUCCUACGGGAGGCAG
rnacentral:rRNA from 1 species